rnacentral:rRNA from 1 species
GACGAACGCUGGCGGCGUGCUUAACACAUGCAAGUCGAACGGAAAGGCCCUGCUUUUGUGGGGUGCUCGAGUGGCGAACGGGUGAGUAACACGUGAGUAACCUGCCCUUGACUUUGGGAUAACUUCAGGAAACUGGGGCUAAUACCGGAUAGGAGCUCCUGCUGCAUGGUGGGGGUUGGAAAGUUUCGGCGGUUGGGGAUGGACUCGCGGCUUAUCAGCUUGUUGGUGGGGUAGUGGCUUACCAAGGCUUUGACGGGUAGCCGGCCUGAGAGGGUGAACGGCCACAUUGGGACUGAGAUACGGCCCAGACUCCUACGGGAGGCAGCAGUGGGGAAUAUUGCACAAUGGGCGGAAGCCUGAUGCAGCAACGCCGCGUGCGGGAUGACGGCCUUCGGGUUGUAAACCGCUUUCGCCUGUGACGAAGCGUGAGUGACGGUAAUGGGUAAAGAAGCACCGGCUAACUACGUGCCAGCAGCCGCGGUGAUACGUAGGGUGCGAGCGUUGUCCGGAUUUAUUGGGCGUAAAGGGCUCGUAGGUGGUUGAUCGCGUCGGAAGUGUAAUCUUGGGGCUUAACCCUGAGCGUGCUUUCGAUACGGGUUGACUUGAGGAAGGUAGGGGAGAAUGGAAUUCCUGGUGGAGCGGUGGAAUGCGCAGAUAUCAGGAGGAACACCAGUGGCGAAGGCGGUUCUCUGGGCCUUUCCUGACGCUGAGGAGCGAAAGCGUGGGGAGCGAACAGGCUUAGAUACCCUGGUAGUCCACGCUGUAAACGGUGGGUACUAGGUGUGGGGUCCAUUCCACGGGUUCCGUGCCGUAGCUAACGCUUUAAGUACCCCGCCUGGGGAGUACGGCCGCAGGGCUAAAACUCAAAGGAAUUGACGGGGCCCCGCACAAGCGGCGGAGCAUGCGGAUUAAUUCGAUGCAACGCGUAGAACCUUACCUGGGUUUGACAUGGAUCGGGAGUGCUCAGAGAUGGGUGUGCCUCUUUUGGGGUCGGUUCACAGGUGGUGCAUGGCUGUCGUCAGCUCGUGUCGUGAGAUGUUGGGUUAAGUCCCGCAACGAGCGCAACCCUUGUUCACUGUUGCCAGCACGUUAUGGUGGGGACUCAGUGGAGACCGCCGGGGUCAACUCGGAGGAAGGUGGGGAUGACGUCAAGUCAUCAUGCCCCUUAUGUCCAGGGCUUCACGCAUGCUACAAUGGCUGGUACAGAGAGUGGCGAGCCUGUGAGGGUGAGCGAAUCUCGGAAAGCCGGUCUCAGUUCGGAUUGGGGUCUGCAACUCGACCUCAUGAAGUCGGAGUCGCUAGUAAUCGCAGAUCAGCAACGCUGCGGUGAAUACGUUCCCGGGGCU